rnacentral:rRNA from 1 species
GACGAACGCUGGCGGCGUGCUUAACACAUGCAAGUCGAACGGAAAGGCCCCUUUGGGGGUACUCGAGUGGCGAACGGGUGAGUAACACGUGAGUAACCUGCCCUUGACUUCGGGAUAACUUCAGGAAACUGGGGCUAAUACCGGAUAGGAAUCCUUGCUGCAUGGUGGGGGUUGGAAAGCUUCGGCGGUUUUGGAUGGACUCGCGGCUUAUCAGCUUGUUGGUGGGGUAGUGGCUUACCAAGGCUUUGACGGGUAGCCGGCCUGAGAGGGCGACCGGCCACAUUGGGACUGAGAUGCGGCCCAGACUCCUACGGGAGGCAGCAGUGGGGAAGAUUGCACAAUGGGCGGAAGCCUGAUGCAGCAACGCCGCGGGCGGGAUGACGGCCUUCGGGUUGUAAACCGCUUUCAGCAGGGGCGAAGCUUGUGGUGACGGUACCUGCAGAAGAAGCACCGGCUAACUACGUG